GCACACUGCAGUGUAUUUUAACAACAAACACAACGUUGCAGCAGUAAAUCCAUUUUGCCACACAAACACAUAUUUUGCUAUAGUUAUACUUUACACAAUACACAAUCAUUCAUAUUCCUUACCUAAUUCAUUGUAAAAAGAAGAAAAAAACAUACCAUUAAUAAUGUCCGUAAUAACCCCAAGACUAAAAUAAGGGAGGGUUAAGGAUCCCCAAUCC